ACUCCUACGGGAGGCAGCAGUGGGGAAUAUUGCACAAUGGGGGAAACCCUGAUGCAGCCAUGCCGCGUGUGUGAAGAAGGCCUUCGGGUUGUAAAGCACUUUCAGUAGGGAGGAAGGUAGUGUAGUUAACACCUGCAUUAUUUGUACGUUACCUACAGAAGAAGCACCGGCUAACUCCGUGCCAGCAGCCGCGGUAAUACGGAGGGUGCGAGCGUUAAUCGGAAUUACGUGGGCGUAAAGCGCAUGCAGGCGGCCUGUUAAGUCAGAUGUGAAAGCCCGGGGCUUAACCUCGGAAUUGCAUUUGAAACUGGCAGGCUAGAGUCUUGUAGAGGGGUUAGAAUUUCAGGUGUAGC
rnacentral:rRNA from 1 species